rnacentral:rRNA from 1 species
UACGAAGGGGGCUAGCGUUGUUCGGAAUUACUGGGCGUAAAGCGUGCGUAGGUUGUAUAUCAAGUUAGUGGUGAAAGCCCAGGGCUCAACUCUGGAACUGCCAUUAAAACUGAUAUGCUAGAGAGUGUUAGAGGUGAGUGGAAUUUCUAGUGUAGGAGUGAAAUCCGUAGAUAUUAGAAGGAACAUCAAUGGCGAAGGCAGCUCACUGGGUCACAUCUGACACUGAGGCACGAAAGCGUGGGUAGCAAACAGG